GACCUCGUAGCUCAGUUGGUAGAGCAUGCGCGUACAAAGCAUAAGCGGCGUUCACGCGUGGGUUCCAAUCUCACCGAGGUUA
rnacentral:tRNA from 1 species